GGUGGCAGCAGUAUCGGUGCAUUCAAAGAACAAGUUUUGGGAGUGGCGUCUAAAUUUCUGUGUUAUUUUGAUCGAUUUUAAUUUGGUUUUUUAACAUUUGUUUUUGAUAAUGAUUUGGACGAGAAUAGCGGCCGUAUUGGUUGCCAAUUUUUUUAUCAUCGUUACUGGACAACGAUUCCCUACCAUUUCAUACAUCUCUCAGGAGAAAGUAAUUGACAUUGGUGGAUCCAUUGAAUUAGAAUGCUCAGUGCAAUACGUCAGAGAUUUCCCUGUUUUGUGGAUUAAAAUAGACAAUGUUGACCCCUCCAGGACCAUCCCACUUUCCACUGGCUCUAACCUUAUUGUUAAAGACAGCAGGUUCAGCUUGCGCUAUGACCAAGCCAGCUCCACAUACACCCUACAGAUCAAGGACAUCCAAGAAAACGAUGCUGGUAAAUACCAGUGUCAAGUCCUGUUGACGGUGACAGAGAAAAUCUCUGCAGAUGUUGCAGUCUCUGUCCGUAUCCCACCCAUCAUUUUUGACAAUUCCACAAGAUCUGUGGUAGUCAGCGAGGGAGAAGGUGUCAAACUAGAAUGCUAUGCUGGUGGAUAUCCAGCACCAACGGUAUCUUGGCGUCGUGAAAACUAUGCCGUGCUACCCACGGGAGGUUCCCAGUACCGCGGUAACAUUUUAACAAUCCCAAGUGUCAGCAAAAACGACCGUGGCACAUACUACUGCGUUGCCGAAAACGGCGUGGGUAAAGGCAAGCGUCGAAAUAUCGCAGUCGAGGUCGAGUUUUCACCUGUGAUCACAGUACCUAGACCCCGACUGGGACAAGCCUUACAGUACGAUAUGGAUCUCGAGUGCCAUGUCAUUGCUUAUCCACCACCGGCAAUCACUUGGUGGAAGGACGAAGUGCAGCUAUCGAAUAACCAACAUUACGCCAUUUCACACUUUGCCACUGCUGACGAAUUUACCGACACAACGUUGCGUAUCCUCACGGCCGAGAAGCGCCAGUACGGCAGGUAUUAUUGCCGUGCCGCCAAUAAGUUGGGCACCGACCAGGCCUCCGUCGAGCUCUUUGAGACGGAGAUUGGUUUUCGAAGAUAUCCGGUCCAACUUCAUUGGGCGUCAGAGAGCAGCAACCGAGCAACAUCCUUCGAUACUUUUCUCAGCAUUUGUAGCACAAACAGCUAUUCUUAUCUCGUGCGAAUCUCUUUCUCGUUCUUUUUCUCAUGUCUGAAUUGAUCGUCAACGCACUGCAACUCAAUCCCUCCAUUUAAUUUUUUAGUUUUAAUCGACAAGACAAACAAAAAUGUUAAACGUUAAAAAUAUGUACCUCUCGGGACAAUAGCAAACAACAUCAGGUACGUAUAUAGUAUAGGGUGUUUGCACACACACACAUUCCAUCACUUGUUGACGCUGGUUUAUUCUACCGUGUGUGUUUGUAACUGUGCAGGGAUUGUCUGUUAUUUUUUUAUUUCGAUCUUAUUUUUCAUUUCUUUUUUUUAAGCAUUAGUGCCACAACAAUCCUUUGAACAAAUAAAAAUGUACCAUAGUU
rnacentral:misc_RNA from 1 species